rnacentral:lncRNA from 1 species
ACAGGUGUAUGGAGGAGUGACUUACUAUAACCCUGCCCAGCAGCAGGUACAGCCAAAGCCCUCUCCACCCCGGAGGACUCCCCAGCCAGUCUCCAUCAAGCCCCCUCCAUCUGAGGUUGUAAGCAGAGGUUCCAGUUAAUAAGAGUUUUCAACUAUUUUAAGUAUAACAUCAUGUGAAUGUAAGUACCCAAUGUACUGCGACUCUUAGUCUAAGACUGACGCUCACACUUAGGUGCUUAAUAAAACCACCUCAUUAAUGCCGA